ensembl:snoRNA small nucleolar RNA, H/ACA box 5C
UGCAGUCAAGUCAAAUUCAGCUCCCAUUCCCGUCAUAGUGGGUGCUGGCCCAGAUGGCUGCCACAGCAAGCCCUGCAGCUCAUGGGCCCUGGGUCCUCUGCACUGGGACCUGGGGAUAAGUUUGGCUGCAGACAGGG